GGACGCGUAGCUUAAUUCGGGAAAGCGGGAAGCUAUUGGCUGACACAGUUGCACGUUCAAGUCGUGCCGCGUCCA
rnacentral:tRNA from 1 species